CUGGCGGCGUACUUAACACAUGCAAGUCGAACGAGGAUCAGCUUUGUAGCAAUACAUUGCUGGUCCUAGUGGCGCACGGGUGAGUAACACGUGGGUAACCUGCCCUUGAGUUCGGGAUACCCCCUCGAAAGGGGGGCUAAUACCGGAUACGUUCCUUGGAUCGACAGGUCUGAGGAGGAAAGGUGGCGCAAGCUGCCGCUCUUGGAGGGGCUCGCGGCCUAUCAGCUAGUUGGCGGGGUAACGGCCCACCAAGGCUAUGACGGGUAGCUGGUCUGAGAGGACGACCAGUCACACGGGGACUGAGACACGGCCCCGACUCCUACGGGAGGCAGCAGUGGGGAAUUUUCCGCAAUGGGCGAAAGCCUGACGGAGUGACGCCGCGUGUGGGACGAAGGCCUUCGGGUCGUAAACCACUGUCAGUGGGAAAGAAGGGUGUCGGUGUUAAUACCACCGGCAUUUGACGGUACCUGCAGAGGAAGCCCCGGCCAACUCUGUGCCAGCAGCCGCGGUAAGACAGAGGGGGCAAGCGUUGCUCGGAAUUACUGGGCGUAAAGGGCGCGUAGGCGGGAUGGCAAGUCGGUCGUGAAAUCCUUCGGCUCAACCGAAGAACGUCGAUCGAUACUGCUGUUCUUGAGGGUUGCAGAGGAGACUGGAAUUCCCGGUGUAGCGGUGAAAUGUGUAGAGAUCGGGAGGAACACCGGUGGCGAAGGCGGGUCUCUGGGCAAUUCCUGACGCUGAGG
rnacentral:rRNA from 1 species